rnacentral:rRNA from 1 species
UACGUAGGGUGCAAGCGUUGUCCGGAAUUAUUGGGCGUAAAGAGCUCGUAGGCGGUGUGUCGCGUCGGCUGUGAAAACCUGCAGCUUAACUGUGGGCUUGCGGUCGAUACGGGCAUCACUGGAGUUCGGCAGGGGAGACUGGAAUUCCUGGUGUAGCGGUGAAAUGCGCAGAUAUCAGGAGGAACACCGGUGGCGAAGGCGGGUCUCUGGGACGGUACUGACGCUGAGACGCGAAAGCGUGGGGAGCGAACAGG